AACGACUCUCGGCAACGGAUAUCUCGGCUCUCGCAUCGAUGAAGAACGUAGCGAAAUGCGAUACUUGGUGUGAAUUGCAGAAUCCCGCGAACCAUCGAGUCUUUGAACGCAAGUUGCGCCCGAAGCCAUCAGGCCGAGGGCACGCCUGCCUGGGCGUCACGC
rnacentral:rRNA from 1 species